rnacentral:rRNA from 1 species
GAUGAACGCUAGCGGCAGGCUUAAUACAUGCAAGUCGAGGGGCAGCGCAGUGUAGCAAUACAUGGGCGGCGACCGGCAAACGGGUGCGGAACACGUACACAACCUUCCUACAAGUGGGGAAUAGCCCAGAGAAAUUUGGAUUAAUACCCCGUGACAUAGCGAUGUGGCAUCACAUUGCUAUUAUAGCUUCGGCGCUUGUUGAUGGGUGUGCGGCUGAUUAGAUAGUUGGCGGGGUAACGGCCCACCAAGUCUACGAUCAGUAGCUGAUGUGAGAGCAUGAUCAGCCACACGGGCACUGAGACACGGGCCCGACUCCUACGGGAGGCAGCAGUAAGGAAUAUUGGACAAUGGACGCAAGUCUGAUCCAGCCAUGCCGCGUGAAGGAUUAAGGUCCUCUGGAUUGUAAACUUCUUUUAUCUGGGACGAAAAAAGGCUUUUCUAAGUCACUUGACGGUACCAGAUGAAUAAGCACCGGCUAACUCCGUGCCAGCCGCCGCUGUAAAAC